UUGAAGCUGUAUGAUUCUGUUUGUUGAUCAUCAGAUGAUGUUGUUCAUGGUUCCUCAAGAAGCCAAAGUACUUCAAGAAGAAGAAGAAGAGGAGUUGAUAUUGAUAGUCCUUCAUAGUAAAGUCAAGAUCUACACCAAAUAGCUUUGAAAGUUUAAGCUAUCUUUAGAUAUCAAACAUAUCUGCUUGGAUAGUCCUUCAUUUCGUUACGUGCUC
rnacentral:lncRNA from 1 species